AUUGAACGCUAACGGCGUGCUUAACACAUGCAAGUCGAGCGGCAGCACAGUAGUAGCAAUACUAUGGGUGGCGAGCGGCGGACGGGUGAGUAAUACAUAGGAAUCUGCCUUAUAGUGGGGGAUAACCCGGGGAAACUCGGGCUAAUACCGCAUAAUCUCUACGGAGAAAAGUAUGGGACCUUCGGGCACUAUGCUAUAAGAUGAGCCUAUGUUGGAUUAGCUAGUUGGUAGGGUAAAGGCCUACCAAGGCAACGAUCCAUAGCUGGUCUGAGAGGAUGAUCAGCCACACUGGGACGGAGACACGGCCCAGACUCCUACGGGAGGCAGCAGUGGGGAAUAUUGGACAAUGGGCGCAAGCCUGAUCCAGCAACGCCGUGUGUGUGAAGAAGGCCUUAGGGUUGUAAAGCACUUUUAGUGGGGAAGAAAAGUUCAUGGCUAAUAUCCAUGAAUGCUGACGUUACCCACAGAAAAAGCACUGGCUAACUCUGUGCCAGCCGCCGCAGUAA
rnacentral:rRNA from 1 species